AUUGAACGCUGGCGGCAGGCCUAACACAUGCAAGUCGAGCGAGCGGCGGACGGGUGAGGAAUGUCUGGGAACCUGCACGUGGGAGGGGGAUAACUACUGGAUACGGUAGCUAAUACCGCAUACACUCAGCUGUGCCCAGAUGGGAUUAGCUAGUAGGUGGGGUAAUGGCGCACCUAGGCGACGCUCCCUAGCUGGUCUGAGAGGAUGACCAGCCACACUGGAACUGAGACACGGUCCAGACUCCUACGGGAGGCAGCAGUGGGGAAUAUUGCACAAUGGGCGCAAGCCUGAUGCAGCCAUGCCGCGUGUGUGAAGAAGGCCUUCGGGUUGUAAAGCACUUUCAGCGGGGAGGCGUUACCCGCAGAAGAAGCACCGGCUAACUCCGUGCCAGCAGCCGCGGUAAUUC
rnacentral:rRNA from 1 species